GUGCCAUGCUUGUACAGCCUACAGAAGUGUGAGCCAAAUAAACCUCUUUUAUUUAUAAAGUAUUCAGUCUCGGGUAUUCCUUUUUAGCAACACAAAUGGACACUAUCAAAGAACAACUGAAAAUUUAAACAUUAAAAUGUCAUUUACAUAAUAUCAAGAAGUAUAAUGUCCCCCCUCAUCCUUAGAUUUAUGGAUAAAUCAGACACAGGGUGAUAUGGUUUGGCUCUGUCCCUGCUCAAAUCUCAUCUGGAACUGUAGUUACCAUAAUCCCUAGAUGUUGUGGGAAGCACCCAGUGGGAGGUAAUUGAAUCAUGGGGGUGGCUACUUCAUUGCUGUUUUCUGAGGUUUUAUAUAGGGGCUUUUCCCUCUUUGCUUGGCACUUCUCCUUCCUGCUGCUCUGUGAAGAAGGACAUUUGCUUCUGCUUCUGCCAUGAUUUAAAGUUUCCUGAAGCCUCCCCAGCCAUGCUGAACUGAGUCAAUUAAACCUCUUUCCUUUAUAAAUUACCCAGUUUCAGGUAUGUCUUUAUUAGCAGCAUGAGAAUGGACUACAAAAGAUCAAAACAUUUGCUGAGUGAAAUAACACCUAAACAAAUGAAGAGGCUUACUUUGUUCAAGGGUCGUAACUCAAUAUUGUUAACAUGUAAAUUAUUCUCAUGUGGAUCUAUAGAUGAAAUGUAACUCCAAUAACAAUCCCAACUUUUUAAAGUGACAAGCCGAUUUUAAUAUUCAUAUGAAAACCCAAGGGACUAAAUGAGCCAAAACAUUUUUGAAAACAAAAGAUUGGAGGCCAAACACGACGUAUUUUUUUUUUUUUCCUUUGAGACGAGUCUUGCUAUGUGGCGGACUGGAGUGCAGUGGCGCGAUCACGCUCACUGCAACCUCUGCCUUCCGGGUUCAAGCGAUUCUCCUCCCUCAGCCUCCUGAGUAGCUGGGGCUACAGGCGCACUCCACGACGUCUGGCUAAUCUUUUAUACUUUACUAGAGACAGGGUUUCACCACAUUGGCCAGGAUGGUCUCCAUCUCCUGACCUCGUGAUCCACCCGCGUUGGCCGUCCAAAGUGCUGGGAUUACAGGCGUGAGCCACCGCACCCGGCCACACAAUGUGAUUUUAAGAUUCUUAAUUAAUCUACAGGAGUCAAGACAGUGUGGAAUUUUUGGAGAGAGAAAUAUAAUAAAUUGUCAGAACAGAAAGUCUUAGACCUACACCUGAUGCUUUAGGGACAACUGAUUUUUGACACAGGUGCAAAAGCUAUUCAGUAAGAAAAAGCUCUCUGAACAAAUGACACCAUUCAUAUGCAAAAAAACAACUUAA